GUUGUUCGGAGUUACUGGGCGUAAAGCGCUAUGUAGGCGGGCAUUUAAGUCAGGGGUGAAAUCCCGGGGCUCAACCUCGGAACUGCCUUUGAUACUGGGUGUCUAGAGUGUGGAAGAGGUAAGUGGAAUCCCGAGUGUAGAGGUGAAAUUCGUAGAUAUUCGGAGGAACACCAGUGGCGAAGGCGGCUUACUGGUCCAUUACUGACGCUGAGGUGCGAAAGCGUGGGGAGC
rnacentral:rRNA from 1 species